GCUCCGAUGGCCUAGUGGUUAGAGCGUCUGCCUUGGAUGCGGGACGUCGUGGGUUCGAUCCCAGGUCGAGUCA